AUUGAACGCUGGCGGCAGGCCUAACACAUGCAAGUCGAGCGGAUGAAGGGAGCUUGCUCCUGGAUUCAGCGGCGGACGGGUGAGUAAUGCCUAGGAAUCUGCCUGGUAGUGGGGGAUAACGUCCGGAAACGGGCGCUAAUACCGCAUACGUCCUGAGGUAGAAAGUGGGGGAUCUUCGGACCUCACGCUAUCAGAUGAGCCUAGGUCGGAUUAGCUAGUUGGUGGGGUAAAGGCCUACCAAGGCGACGAUCCGUAACUGGUCUGAGAGGAUGAUCAGUCACACUGGAACUGAGACACGGUCCAGACUCCUACGGGAGGCAGCAGUGGGGAAUAUUGGACAAUGGGCGAAAGCCUGAUCCAGCAAUGCCGCGUGUGUGAAGAAGGUCUUCGGAUUGUAAAGCACUUUAAGUUGGGAGGAAGGGAAGUAAGUUAAUACCUUGCUGUUUUGACGUUACCAAAAGAAUAAGCACCGGCUAACUUCGUG
rnacentral:rRNA from 1 species